GGUAGCGUGGCCGAGUGGUAUAAGGCGCUGGUUUUAGGCAGCAGUCAUUUCGAUGACGUGGGUUCGAAUCCCACCGCUGCCA
rnacentral:tRNA from 1 species